rnacentral:tRNA from 2 species
GUCGGGAUAACAUAGGGGCCAUGUGGUGGACUGCAGAUCCUCAUACGGGAGUUCAAAUCUCCCUCCCGACCCCA